rnacentral:rRNA from 1 species
GAUGAACGCUGGCGGCGUGCCUAAUACAUGCAAGUCGAGCGAACGGACGAGAAGCUUGCUUCUCUGAUGUUAGCGGCGGACGGGUGAGUAACACGUGGAUAACCUACCUAUAAGACUGGGAUAACUUCGGGAAACCGGAGCUAAUACCGGAUAAUAUUUUGAACCGCAUGGUUCAAAAGUGAAAGACGGUCUUGCUGUCACUUAUAGAUGGAUCCGCGCUGCAUUAGCUAGUUGGUAAGGUAACGGCUUACCAAGGCAACGAUGCAUAGCCGACCUGAGAGGGUGAUCGGCAACACUGGAACUGAGACACGGUCCAGACCCCUACGGGAGGCAGCAGUAGGGAAUCUUCCGCAAUGGGCGAAAGCCUGACGGAGCAACGCCGCGUGAGUGAUGAAGGUCUUCGGAUCGUAAAACUCUGUUAUUAGGGAAGAACAUAUGUGUAAGUAACUGUGCACAUCUUGACGGUACCUAAUCAGAAAGCCACGGCUAACUACGUG